GACACGGCCCAGACUCCUACGGGAGGCAGCAGUAGGGAAUCUUCGGCAAUGGACGGAAGUCUGACCGAGCAACGCCGCGUGAGUGAAGAAGGUUUUCGGAUCGUAAAGCUCUGUUGUUAGAGAAGAACGUUGGUAGGAGUGGAAAAUCUACCAAGUGACGGUAACUAACCAGAAAGGGACGGCUAACUACGUGCCAGCAGCCGCGGUAAUACGUAGGUCCCGAGCGUUGUCCGGAUUUAUUGGGCGUAAAGCGAGCGCAGGCGGUUCUUUAAGUCUGAAGUUAAAGGCAGUGGCUUAACCAUUGUACGCUUUGGAAACUGGAGGACUUGAGUGCAGAAGGGGAGAGUGGAAUUCCAUGUGUAGCGGUGAAAUGCGUAGAUAUAUGGAGGAACACCGGUGGCGAAAGCGGCUCUCUGGUCUGUAACUGACGCUGAGGCUCGAAAGCGUGGGGAGCAAACAGGAUUAGAUACCCUGGUAGUCCACGCCGUAAACGAUGAGUGCUAAGUGUUGGGGGGUUUCCGCCCUUCAGUGCUGCAGCAAACGCAUUAAGCACUCCGCCUGGGGAGUACGACCGCAAGGUUGAAACUCAAAGGAAUUGACGGGGGCCCGCACAAGCGGUGGAGUAUGUGGUUUAAUUCGACGCAACGCGAAGAACCUUACCAGGUCUUGACAUUGAUGGACAGAACUAGAGAUAGUUCCUCUUCUUCGGAAGCCAGAAAACAGGUGGUGCACGGUUGUCGUCAGCUCGUGUCGUGAGAUGUUGGGUUAAGUCCCGCAACGAGCGCAACCC
rnacentral:rRNA from 1 species